ensembl:lncRNA
CUUGUGUCUCAGGUUCUGUCCACCAGUGUUAUCAUCGUGGAAAAUGACCUGAUCCAGUCUGCUGCAGGCCUAGUGUCUCAGGUUCUGUCCAGCAGUGACACUAGAGUGAAGGAUCGUAUUGAUUCCACACUGACAGACUCCAACCAACCUGAGGUCCAUGUGGCGGAUGUCUCAACCGAGAGAAGUAAAUUAGUCAUCACUAUUUCUAUGUUUUCAAUAGAGAGUUGCAAUGCUUCGGUCCAUGAAGUUGAUGCUAUUGCUACCAGCCUGGAGCACCCGGCUGAGGAAAUGUCUACCUCUACCGCUGAUGGCCACAUUGUUUCAUCCACUGCUGUUGCCAAUCAGAAGAAAACAAGGGGUGAAUUCGUCUCAUCUCUACGGAGACUGUUCACGAGAAAGAACAGGAAGCCUGCUAAAGUGUCUUCCAAGAAGGAGCACAUUCACUUGGUUGACCGCCUCAAUGCUGAAGUCACCCACUGAGGGCACUCACUCACUGCUGAAAGCAUCCAGAAUGAUGCUUCUGUUUCUCCUCAACGCCACCUACACCCCUGCCCCUCUCCCCCACACCAAACCCUACCAGGGUAGGGUUGAAUUCCAGAUCAAUUCAGUCAAUUCAAGAAGUAAACUGAAAUUCCAAUUCCAAUUGUUUCUCAUAGGAGGCAUUGAGGUAAAUUUGAAUUGCUAUUGGAAUUUCAGUUUACUUUCUGAAUUGACUGAAUUGAAAAUGAAUUGACCCCAACCCUGAUCCCUAAGCCUCCACCCCAUCCAUUUCUAUCUUCAGUAAAUUUUGUAGAAUUUUAUUUGAAUGUGUUUUGUAUCUUCAUUAAAACCACAAUGCAUCUCUAAUGAGAGUCACUCAUGUUACACAUCUAGAUUCAUCAUCAAAUAUUAACGCAACAUGUAAAGUGUUGGUACCAUGUUUCAUGAGCUGAUAUAAAAUCCCAUUAUUAUUCCAUAUGUACAAA